rnacentral:rRNA from 1 species
UACGUAGGCAGCGAGCGUUGUUCGGAGUUACUGGGCGUAAAGGGUGUGUAGGCGGUUGUUUAAGUUUGGUGUGAAAUCUCCCGGCUCAACCGGGAGGGUGCGCCGAAUACUGAAUGACUAGAGUGCGGGAGAGGAGAGUGGAAUUCCUGGUGUAGCGAUGAAAUGCGUAGAUAUCAGGAGGAACACCGGUGGUGUAGACGGCUCUCUGGACCGUAACUGACGCUGAGACACGAAAGCGUGGGUAGCAAACAGG